UUCGCGCCUGCGCUGUGCAGGCGGCGGAGGCCGUUGGCGUCACGUGCUCGGUCGCUCGCGCCACUCGGGGUUGACAGACUUGGCUGGAAGGGAAAGGCGCGCCUUCAAUCUCUGGACCUAGCCUAUUAUUCAUCGUCAAGAAGUGUUCCAGUAAGAAUGUCUAUCAGGUUAAUCUGUAAGCAUUAUCAAAAUGACCAUCACAACAAUAAUCAAAACAGUGCCCACACACCACUCUAGUGCCUUCUGGCUGAACAGGAAUUGCAGGCUGUGCUGGCUGCUCCUCUGGAAUCAACAUAACUGGACCAAGAUUAAUGAUUCGCCUACUGUAUGGAGAAAAGUAAACCCAUCAUGUCAUUGUAUACAGCACAGAAAAAAAGGGCUACAAGUGAAUUGUGUGUUCCUGGAGCUCCAACCUGACCUGCAAAGUCCAUCCACAGAUAAUCAUGGACUCAAGAGCAAAGCCUGUUUGAACCUGAGGUCAUCCAAUGAAGCUGAGGAACUGCAUUUUCACAUAGCUCAUGGUGAAAAAUAAGGAAUUUUGCUAUCACAAGCUGUGGUGAUGGCUGCCAAUAUAGGCUGCAAUCCUAACUCUACUUACCCAGGAGUAAGCCCCACUGAAUUCAAUAGAUCUGGGUAACAGCAAGAGCUCCCGCAUGCAAUUUUGGAGUCCUUGGGAGUCUUCUUUUCUGGACUUUUGACUCACUGACGUCCUCUUCAGGCUUUGGAGAGGGUCUCCUUUUGAGCCUCAAGGAUUUUCCAGCUGUCUCCCGCCAUUUCAGGUUAUAG